AGGGUUUGAUCAUGGCUCAGAAUGAACGUUGGCGGCGUGGAUUAGGCAUGCAAGUCGAGCGAGAAUCCCCGCAAGGGGAGGAAAGCGGCGAAAGGGAGAGUAAUACGUAGGUACCUGCCCUCAGGACCGGGAUAGCUGCGGGAAACUGCAAUUAAUACCGGAUGACGUCUCUGGACCAAAGGUGUGAUUCCGCCAGAGGAUGGGCCUGCGUCCUAUCAGCUAGUUGGUGUGGUAAUGGCGCACCAAGGCAAAGACGGGUACGGGGUGUGAGAGCAUGCCCCCGCUCACUGGGACUGAGACACUGCCCAGACACCUACGGGUGGCUGCAGUCGAGAAUCUUCCGCAAUGGGCGCAAGCCUGACGGAGCGACGCCGCGUGCGGGAUGAAGGCCUUCGGGUUGUAAACCGCUGUCAGUGGGGAGCAAAUGCAUAGGGGUUCUCCCCUAUGUUUGAGCGAUCCGCAGAGGAAGCACAGGCUAAUUCCGUGCCAGCAGCCGCGGUAAUACGGAAUGUGCAAACGUUAUUCGGAAUCACUGGGCUCAAAGAGUCCGUAGGCGGCAUGUUAGGUGAGGUGUGAAAUCCCCCGGCUCAACCGAGGAAUUGCGCUUCAAACCGGCGUGCUUGAGGAAGAUAGAGGUGGGCGGAACUGAUGGUGGAGCGGUGAAAUGCGUUGAUAUCAUCAGGAACACCGGAGGCGAAGGCGGCCCACUGGGUCUUUUCUGACGCUGAGGGACGAAAGCUAGGGGAGCGAACGGGAUUAGAUACCCCGGUAGUCCUAGCCUUAAAC
rnacentral:rRNA from 1 species